rnacentral:tRNA from 2 species
GGAACGGUAACUCAGUGGUAGAGUGUAGGAUUGCAGAUCCUGAAGUCAUCAGUUCGAUCCUGGUUCGUUCCU